rnacentral:rRNA from 1 species
AAAUUGAAGAGUUUGAUCAUGGCUCAGAUUGAACGCUGGCGGCAGGCCUAACACAUGCAAGUCGAACGGUAACAGGAAGAAGCUUGCUUCUUUGCUGACGAGUGGCGGACGGGUGAGUAAUGUCUGGGAAACUGCCUGAUGGAGGGGGAUAACUACUGGAAACGGUAGCUAAUACCGCAUAACGUCGCAAGACCAAAGAGGGGGACCUUCGGGCCUCUUGCCAUCGGAUGUGCCCAGAUGGGAUUAGCUAGUAGGUGGGGUAACGGCUCACCUAGGCGACGAUCCCUAGCUGGUCUGAGAGGAUG